rnacentral:ncRNA from 1 species
CAGUGGGAAUGAAGUUCUCCCUUAGUUGUAUAAACUAAAACCGCUAAUGUUAGCUGAUGACUUCUGCCUUU